UACGGGGGGGGGCAAGCGUUGUUCGGAAUUACUGGGCGUAAAGGGCUCGUAGGUGGCCAACUAAGUCAUACGUGAAAUCCCUCGGCUUAACCGGGGAACUGCGUCUGAUACUGGAUGGCUUGAGGUUGGGAGAGGGAUGCGGAAUUCCAGGUGUAGCGGUGAAAUGCGUAGAUAUCUGGAGGAACACCGGUGGCGAAGGCGGCAUCCUGGACCAACACUGACACUGAGGAGCGAAAGCCAGGGGAGCAAACGGGG
rnacentral:rRNA from 1 species